GAAUGGGAGAAUCCACACAAGUCUUUAAUCUCCAUCAAGCCAAGAUAUUGUUUCUGCUUUGUUCUGAAUUUUAAGAUAAAUCCUUCACGACGCUGUCGUCGUCUCGUUUUGUGGUCUUCAUUUCCUCCUGAUUAUAAAUAAGAAUCUGGUUUCCCUUUAGCAGGACUGGGUGGCAGGGGAGUUCAAACUCUUCUGUUCACAGCCAGCAAGAACUGCUUUUCCCACUGCAGGGGUUCAGAUCUUCAGCUCCCUGGACUGAGAGUGCUUUGAUGCUUUCCAGCCCCAGCUCAAACACCAAGGAUUUCCUGCCACCAUAAAGCUGUAAUUGCUGAAUUAAUAACAGCAGGUUUUGAAGAGUGACUGCACAGACUCUCUGACCCAGCCAGAAUAAUUUUGCUGUGUGAGGGAGAACUCCUGAAAUGGAAGCUGAUUUGGAGAAUAUGUCUGACAAAAGCAACGGUGCUGCAGCUUGGGAGUGCAGGCAAGCCCAGGAGAAGAUAUUUUCCUGAAGUGAGGAGUGAAGCCUUCCAUUCCAGUGCCAGAGGAGUGAGUUGUGAGAUCCAAAGUGCAGAUUUGCUGUUGCUCCUCUCCAACACAGAGGGUGGAAAAUGUGACCAAAGAUGCAGAACAUGAGGAAGCAGAGGACAAGCUGGACAUCCCAGACUCCACUCCUGCUGAUGAACUCAUUCUUUCAUGCCACCGAGGUGGCUUGAGUGACACUCCCACUGCAAUUACAGUGGCAGCCUUGGCACGUUUAGGGCUGGGAUGGAAUCAGCCCUGGGCCACUCUCUGCAGUGUUUGCUUGAGGAAGCCCAAAGUGAAGGACACCAAGGUUUUGUCCUCGCAGGACACAGAGGGACACGUGUGCUCUGGGCUCUGCCAGGCGCCACUCAAAGCACUCCAACUUGGCUCCUGCUCUGAACCAACCCCAGGAGGAGGCUGCUUCUCCCCACAGACUCCAGAAACUGUUUGAAGACAUGACCAGCAGCAAAGGACAUUUCUUGAGGAAAAUCCUCUACUGGAAACAAGACACAGACUUCUCCUGGGGAUUUACCUGGAGUGAGAUCAAAAGAAAACUGCCUUUCUCCCCUUCCUGCAUAAAGGUGCAAAUUUUGUUUUGACUAGUGAUGUUGAAAAGAAAUAAAUAAAUUUCUGGAG